GACGAACCGUGCGAACGUUAUUCGGAAUCACUGGGCUUAAAGGGCGCGUAGGCGGGCGGCCGCGUCCGGGGUGAAAGUCGCCGGCUCAACCGGUGAAGGGCCUCGGGUACGGGCCGUCUGGAGGGGGGUAGGGGCCCGCGGAACUGUGGGUGGAGCGGUGAAAUGCGUUGAUAUCCACAGGAACUCCGGUGGCGAAGGCGGCGGGCUGGACCCCACCUGACGCUGAGGCGCGAAAGCCAGGGGAGCGAACGGG
rnacentral:rRNA from 1 species